UUACAGCGUUCUUUUGCAGCCGGCUGCAUCGUAGGUCUAGGAGGAUGUCUAUGGGUGUGGCUGGGAGAAGGAAACAGCUACGGUCAAUGGGGCAUAUUCGCUGUGGUAGCUCUUUUGGGCAUCGCUGGGUCCACUUUGCUCAUCACAUCGCUGUCUUUCACAGCGGAUCUCAUAGGGGAUAUUGUGGAGGGAGCUGCGUUCGUCUACGACUUCAUGAGUCUCGCGGACAAGAUCUCCAAUGGCGUCAUCAUCAUGUUGAUUCAAGACUUCAAUCCUGAUGAAGGCUGGUACUACCGCUACGUCAUAGCCUUCGCUUGCGGCUCAGCCUGCCUUCUUGGGGUGGUCGUCACUCUGACGCUGACCAGAUUCAAAAUCGGCAACAGAAGAGUUUACUCGCAAGAUGAAACGCUGCCAGAGUUGAGGGACGAUUCUGCUCCUCUCGUCACAGACAGAUUGUCUGGUUCCUCGUCUCCUUCUUCUUCGUAGCAGAAGGGAGACACCAAGGCGUAAGUUCCCGUCGUCGCGACUCUACGGGGUCGGCCAUUCAAACCCGAAAUCGCCACAGGCCGAUGGAAUGAAGAAUCUUUUGAACCUCGUGCAUGAAGGAUCAGAGCAGUUCAUAGCAAAAGCAUAUCUGUAUUAUGAUUAUCUUACAAAGUCAUUCAAAAAUGACUCACCGUGAAUAAAACAAAUGGUGUGUGUGUGCGUGCGUGGGUGCGUGUGUGUCUGUAUGCGGGGAAGUACCACAGGGAACUUGCAACAGUGGGUUAAAAUACCGGAUCUUUCCUAGAUAGAGUCGCUAAAGGUUUUCGAUGGUCGUUAUCUAGGACUAAUAUUUCUUGCGCGUCAUUCAUUAUCUUUAUGAUAUUUACCGUCUUUUGUUUAU